rnacentral:tRNA from 1 species
ACCUGGCUGGCUUAGUCGGUAGAGCACAUGAUUCUUGAUCUUGGGGUUGUAAGUUUGAGCCCUGUGUUGGGUG